AGACUACUGCGUGAUCAUCGUUGCUAGGGAAACUUUGCUUUAAUUACUGUGUGUCUUACCCUGGUAAAUACGUGUGAAUUGUGGCGUUUGGUUUUGCGUUUGCCUAUCGCGGGACUGGACAGUUUCGGUCUUCUAAAUAGGGAGGCGUGACAAUAGCCAGUAAGCCGGUAAAAAGUACUUAAAGAGCUGUUCUGCCUUCUGCUGUUUAAUUCCGCUCGUAUAUUUUGUUGUAGACAUUUUAAUCAAGAUUUUACUCCGAAGGCAGUACGAUCUAGGGCAAUUAUGCCAAAAUCGAGUUUCUCAGAAAUCCAGCCAGUUGCAUGAGCCCUCUUUGACAGAGACAGACUGCUGAAUGCCCAGUGGCUUGUUGGUCUAGGGGUAUGAUUCUCGCUUAGGGUGCGAGAGGUCCCGGGGUCAAAUCCCGGACGAGCCCACUUUAGGGCUUCUUCUUUGUUCCUAUUCUGCAAUUCAAACUUGGUCCAACACUUUUUGUGCGUUAGAUCACUUGCACUGAAAGGAGGCGUUGCUUCUGAGUUGACUCCAAUGGACUGUGCUGCUUGGAGAUCUGUCAGAAAGGGCUUUUUAGAAAACUUCAUGGCCCUUGUGAACCUUCUUUUCAUAUUUGCAUCCGAUGGAUUGUUGGUUUUGGGGGUAUGUGUUUUUUUUUUGUUCGUUUUUUUUGCUUCAGGUGUUAGAGGUCUAGUGUUCAAAUCCGUAACGAGUCCCCUUGCAGCUUCGAAACCACUUUUUUUUAAGGAGCGGCCUUUCGUCCUGCUUUUUUUUGGCUCAAUUUCAAGCAUUGUUAGGUACUUGUUGUCUAUCGAUAUCGACGUCUCGUACUUCUACUUGGUCUGUUACCUGCGGGUUGCGUUAGGUUAAACCGUUAGCUCGGUCGGUUACGGUCUUGUGCCCCAAUGCCGAAAUAGCUCAGUUGGGAGAGCGUUAGACUGAAGAUCUAAAGGUCCCUGGUUCGAUCCCGGGUUUCGGCAGUGUGGAGCCUGCUGUCCUUUUUGGUCUACAUUCUGAUGAUCACUGGCCAGUUACUUUUUCAUUCACUCCUACUGAGUCAUUCCUACACUGCAGGAGGGCAGACGUUCCUGCCGAUUCUAGUGCCCAUGGUGUAACGGUUAGCACUCUGGAUUCUGAAUCCUUUGAACCUGCUAGCUUUUGACCAUCAGUGCUUGGCAAAUUGCAGCCUACGUAAUAUGAUUCUCGCUUAGGGUGCGAGAGGUCCCGGGUUCAAAUCCCGGACGAGCCCACUUUGGAGCUUCUCCUUUGUUCCUAUUCUGCAAUUCAAACUUGGUCCAACACUUUGUGCGUUAGAUCACUUGCACUGAAAGGAGGCGUUGCUUCUGAGUUGACUCCAAUGGGCUGUGCUGCUGGGAGAUCUGUCAGAAAGGGCUUUUUUAGAAAACUUCAUGGCCCUUGUGAACCUUCUUUUCAUAUUUGCAUCCGAUGGAUUGUUGGUUUUGGGGUAUGUGUUUUUUUUUGUUCGUUUUUUUUGCUUCAGGUGUUAGAGGUCUAGUGUUCAAAUCCGUAACGAGUCCCCUUGCAGCUUCGAAACCACUUUUUUUUAAGGAGCGGCCUUUCGUCCUGCUUUUUUUGGCUCAAUUUCAAGCAUUGUUAGGUACUUGUUGUCUAUCGAUAUCGACGUCUCGUACUUCUACUUGGUCUGUUACCUGCGGGUUGCGUUAGGUUAAACCGUUAGCUCGGUCGGUUACGGUCUUGUGCCCCAAUGCCGAAAUAGCUCAGUUGGGAGAGCGUUAGACUGAAGGGCUCAAUUUCAAGCAUUGUUAGGUACUUGUUGUCUAUCGAUAUCGACGUCUCGUACUUCUACUUGGUCUGUUACCUGCGGGUUGCGUUAGGUUAAACCGUUAGCUCGGUCGGUUACGGUCUUGUGCCCCAAUGCCGAAAUAGCUCAGUUGGGAGAGCGUUAGACUGAAGAUCUAAAGGUCCCUGGUUCGAUCCCGGGUUUCGGCAGUGUGGAGCCUGCUGUCCUUUUUGGUCUACAUUCUGAUGAUCACUGGCCAGUUACUUUUUCAUUCACUCCUACUGAGUCAUUCCUACACUGCAGGAGGGCAGACGUUCCUGCCGAUUCUAGUGCCCAUGGUGUAACGGUUAGCACUCUGGAUUCUGAAUCCUUUGAACCUGCUAGCUUUUGACCAUCAGUGCUUGGCAAAUUGCAGCCUACGUAAACAACCUUCUCUGUGGCAGCGUGUUUUAAAAGGGAGUGUCACGGUGGCCUCCUUUAACCGUGCAACUUUGAUGAAUCAGUCAUGAUGAGUGUUCCCAAAGAAUCCAGAAGAGACAUUAAACUGAACAGGAACAACAUAGAACUAAACUGAGCAGAAUGGUGCCACCGUUACCUUCUGCUAAGAAGACAGUUUCUCUUGAGCGAAAACAGCAUGAUGUGUGUGGCAGUACCGCAAUGUAGCCUUCUGCUGUUUAAUUCAGCUCGUAUAUUUUGUUGUAGACAUUUUAAUCAAGAUUUUACUCCGAAGGCAGUACGAUCUAGGGCAAUUAUGCCAAAAUCGAGUUUCUCAGAAAUCCAGCCAGUUGCAUGAGCCCUCUUUCUGCACUUGCCAGGUGUAGAGACAGACUGCUCAAUGCCCAGUGGCUCGUUGGUCUAGGGGUAUGAUUCUCGCUUAGGGUGCGAGAGGUCCCGGGUUCAAAUCCCGGGCGAGCCCACUUUGGAGCUUCUCCUUUGUUCCUAUUCUGCAAUUCAAACUUGGUCCAACGCUUUGUGCGUUAGAUCACUUGCAAACUUCAUGGCCCUUGUGAACCUUCUUUUCAUAUUUGCAUCCGAUGGAUUGUUGGUUUUGGGGUAUGUGUUUUUUUUUGUUCGUUUUUUUUGCUUCAGGUGUUAGAGGUCUAGUGUUCAAAUCCGUAACGAGUCCCCUUGCAGCUUUGAAACCACUUUUUUUUAAGGAGCGGCCUUUCGUCCUGCUUUUUUUGGCUCAAUUUCAAGCAUUGUUAGGUACUUGUUGUCUAUCGAUAUUGACGUCUCGUACUUCUACUUGGUCUAUUACCUGCGGGUUGCGUUAGGUUAAACCGUUAGCUUGGUCGGUUAUGGUCUUGUGCCCCAAUGCCGAAAUAGCUCAGUUGGGAGAGCGUUAGACUGAAGAUCUAAAGGUCCCUGGUUGUUGCUUACCAAUGCUUCUCUUGAUGAUCAACCAGCCACAAAUGAGCACUCCGGUCUGAUCUCAUUCCAAGGAAUUAUUUUUCGCCGCUCAUGUUUUACGCCUUUAAUACAAAAGGGCAAGCCGCAAACUUUAAUGAAUUUGUGCUGAGUCUUUCAUGUUUAACUUCAAACCGACUGUCAUGUAAUACCUCUCUCUCUCUCUCUCUCUCUCUCUCUCACUGUUUCCUUUCCAGGGUUAUAUAUAUAUGACGUAAAAUGUAAAGUUUUAGAAAACUUCAUGGCCCUUGUGAACCUUCUUUUCAUAUUUGCAUCCGAUGGCUUGUUGGUUUUGGGGUAUGUGUUUUUUUUUUGUUCGUUUUUUUUGCUUCAGGUGUUAGAGGUCUAGUGUUCAAAUCCGUAACGAGUCCCCUUGCAGCUUCGAAACCACUUUUUUUUUAAGGAGCGGCCUUUCGUCCUGCUUUUUUUUGGCUCAAUUUCAAGCAUUGUUAGGUACUUGUUGUCUCUCGAUAUCGACGUCUCGUACUUCUACUUGGUCUGUUACCUGCGGGUUGCGUUAGGUUAAACCGUUAGCUCGGUCGGUUAUGGUCUUGUGCCCCAAUGCCGAAAUAGCUCAGUUGGGAGAGCGUUAGACUGAAGAUCUAAAGGUCCCUGGUUCGAUCCCGGGUUUCGGCAGUGUGGAGCCUGCUGUCCUUUUUGGUCUACAUUCUGAUGAUCACUGGCCAGUUACUUUUUCAUUCACUCCUACUGAGUCAUUCCUACACUGCAGGAGGGCAGACGUUCCUGCCGAUUCUAGUGCCCAUGGUGUAACGGUUAGCACUCUGGAUUCUGAAUCCUUUGAACCUGCUAGCUUUUGACCAUCAGUGCUUGGCAAAUUGCAGCCUACGUAACAACCUUCUCUGUGGCAGCGUGUUUUAAAAGGGAGUGUCACGGUGGCCUCCUUUAACCGUGCAACUUUGAUGAAUCAGUCAUGAUGAGUGUUCCCAAAGAAUCCAGAAGAGACAUUAAACUGAACAGGAACAACAUAGAACUAAACUGAGCAGAAUGGUGCCACCGUUACCUUCUGCUAAGAAGACAGUUUCUCUUGAGCGAAAACAGCAUGAUGUGUGUGGCAGUACCGCAAUGUAGCCUUCUGCUGUUUAAUUCAGCUCGUAUAUUUUGUUGUAGACAUUUUAAUCAAGAUUUUACUCCGAAGGCAGUACGAUCUAGGGCAAUUAUGCCAAAAUCGAGUUAGUGUUUUGUUUUUUUUUUUUUUUUUUUGUCUUCAGGUUUGAGAGGUCUAGUGUUCAAACCCGGAACGAGUCCCGAAAUAGCUCAGUUGGGAGAGCAUUAGACUGAAGAUCUAAAGGUCUCUGGUUCGGUACUUAUCUUCUGUUGAGUACCUCAAGGCUCAGUACUAGGACCAUUACUCUUCACGUUUUACAUCUUACCCUUGGGAGAUAUCAUCAGGAAACACGGUGUUAGUCAGGAAACACGGUGUUAGCUUUCACCUUUAUGCUGAUGAUACUCAGCUCUAUAUUCUUCACAGCCCGGCAAAAUAUAAUAUAACAUAAUAACAGAAAUGCAAAGUCGAUAUAAAAAACUGGAUGUCGAGUAAUUUCUUACUGCUAAAAUUCUGAAUUCUGUUAAUUAUAGGACCUAAAAACUCUGCAUGUAAUAACCUAGAACGCUGUCUAAGACUUGAUCGCUGCCCUGUCAAUUCUUCAUCAUCAGUUAGGAACCUAGGUGUGCUAUUUGACAGCAAUCUUUCCUUAGAAAGCCACGUUUCUAGCAUUUGUAAAACUGCAUUUUUCCAUCUCAAAAAUAUAUCUAAAUUACAGCCUAUGCUCUCAAUGUCAAAUGCAGAAAUGCUAAUCCAUGCGUUUAUGACCUCAAGGUUAGAUUAUUGUAAGGCUUUAUUGGGUGGUUGUUCUGCAUGCUUAAUAAACAAACUCCAGUUAGUCCAAAAUGCACCAGCUAGAGUUCUUACUAGAACCAGGAAGUAUGACCAUAUUAGCCCAGUCCUGUCACACUGCACUGGCUCCCUAUCAAAC
rnacentral:lncRNA from 1 species